rnacentral:rRNA from 1 species
UGGGGGAUAUUGCACAAUGGGCGAAAGCCUGAUGCAGCGACGCCGCGUGGGGGAUGAAGGCCUUCGGGUUGUAAACUUCUUUUGCUCUGAACAAGGCGCACCAUGGGGUGUGUUGAGUGUAGGGGUUGAUUAGCGCCGGCCAACUACGUGCCAGCAGCCGCGGUAAUACGUAGGGCGCGAGCGUUGUCCGGAAUUAUUGGGCGUAAAGGGCUUGUAGGUGGCUGGUUGCGUCUGUCGUGAAAGCUCAUGGCUUAACUGUGGGUUUGCGGUGGGUACGGGCUGGCUUGAGUGCAGUAGGGGAGGCUGGAAUUCCUUGUGUAGCGGUGGAAUGCGCAGAUAUCAGGGGGAAUACCGGUGGCGAAGGCGGGUCUCUGGGCUGUUACUGACACUGAGGAGCGAAAGCAUGGGGAGCGAACAGG